rnacentral:rRNA from 1 species
CGCACGAGUUCAGACUCGUGGCGAAUAGCUCAGUAACACGUGGCCAAACUACCCUUCGGAACACGAUACCCUCGGGAAACUGAGGCUAAUAGUGUAUACCACAUCACCACUGGAAUGAGUGAUGUGCCAAACGCUCCGGCGCCGAAGGAUGUGGCUGCGGCCGAUUAGGUAGACGGUGGGGUAACGGCCCACCGUGCCAAUAAUCGGUACGGGUCAUGAGAGUGAGAACCCGGAGACGGAAUCUGAGACAAGAUUCCGGGCCCUACGGGGCGCAGCAGGCGCGAAACCUUUACACUGCACGACAGUGCGAUAGGGGGAUCCCAAGUGCACAGGCAUAGCGCCUGUGCUUUUCGGUACCGUAAGGUGGUACCAGAAUAAGGGCUGGGCAAGACCGGUGCCAGCCGCCGCGGUAAUACCGGCAGCCCAAGUGAUGGCCGAUCUUAUUGGGCCUAAAGCGUCCGUAGCUGGCCGCGCAAGUCCAUCGGGAAAUCCACCUGCUCAACAGGUGGGCGCCCGGUAGAAACUGCGUGGCUUGGGACCGGAAGGCGCGACGGGUACGUCCGGGGUAGGAGUGAAAUCC